AGAGUUUGAUCCUGGCUCAGGAUGAACGCUAGCGACAGGCUUAACACAUGCAAGUCGAGGGGCAGCACAGGUAGCAAUACCGGGUGGCGACCGGCGCACGGGUGAGUAACGCGUAUGCAACUUACCUAUCAGAGGGGGAUAACCCGGCGAAAGUCGGACUAAUACCGCAUGAAGCAGGGGCCCCGCAUGGGGAUAUUUGCUAAAGAUUCAUCGCUGAUAGAUAGGCAUGCGUUCCAUUAGGCAGUUGGCGGGGUAACGGCCCACCAAACCGACGAUGGAUAGGGGUUCUGAGAGGAAGGUCCCCCACAUUGGUACUGAGACACGGACCAAACUCCUACGGGAGGCAGCAGUGAGGAAUAUUGGUCAAUGGGCGUAAGCCUGAACCAGCCAAGUCGCGUGAGGGAUGAAGGUUCUAUGGAUCGUAAACCUCUUUUAUAAGGGAAUAAAGUGCGGGACGUGUCCCGUUUUGUAUGUACCUUAUGAAUAAGGAUCGGCUAACUCCGUGCCAGCAGCCGCGGUAAUACGGAGGAUCCGAGCGUUAUCCGGAUUUAUUGGGUUUAAAGGGUGCGUAGGCGGCCUUUUAAGUCAGCGGUGAAAGUCUGUGGCUCAACCAUAGAAUUGCCGUUGAAACUGGGAGGCUUGAGUAUGUUUGAGGCAGGCGGAAUGCGUGGUGUAGCGGUGAAAUGCUUAGAUAUCACGCAGAACCCCGAUUGCGAAGGCAGCCUGCCAAGCCAUGACUGACGCUGAUGCACGAAAGCGUGGGGAUCAAACAGGAUUAGAUACCCUGGUAGUCCACGCAGUAAACGAUGAUCACUAGCUGUUUGCGAUACACUGUAAGCGGCACAGCGAAAGCGUUAAGUGAUCCACCUGGGGAGUACGCCGGCAACGGUGAAACUCAAAGGAAUUGACGGGGGCCC
rnacentral:rRNA from 1 species